rfam:Gossypium raimondii Chr05_contig_417, whole genome shotgun sequence.
AAUGGGAGAAGGACAAAUCUGUUUUUUGCUCUCCUGAUUUUCAGCUUCUUUUCUCCUGACAAAAUUCAAAUCUAACUAAAAAUGAUGAAAAUUAGAAGGGAAAAUCUGAUUUGUUAUUUUUCCAUU